rnacentral:rRNA from 1 species
UACAGAGGGGGCAAGCGUUGUUCGGAAUUACUGGGCGUAAAGGGCGCGUAGGCGGCCUGCUAAGUCGAACGUGAAAGCCCCCGGCUCAACCGGGGAACUGCGCUUGAAACUGUUAGGCUCGAGUCAGCUAGAGGUACACGGAACUUCCAGUGGAGCGGUGAAAUGUGUUGAUAUUGGAAGGAACACCGGAGGCGAAAGCGGUGUACUGGGGCUGGUCUGACGCUGAGGCACGAAAGCCAGGGGAGCGAACGGG